CUUUUGGAGUGUCAACAUCGAAAAUUUAAUCUUCUCAGACAAAAUCUGUAAAUUUUCCAAGAAUCAUUUAAUAAAUGAGAAAGAUUUAUUAACAUUAUCCACUGAAUAUUCACCAAUUACACACCAUCAGGAAAAGGUUUCUAGCCUAUCGUUAUCUUACCUUGACACCUAGAUUUGGAAUUUGAACCCAUCAACUGGUAAAAAUUUCUUUACCAUUCAUGAAUAUUUGCAAGCUCAAUUUGCAAGAAAAUCCCAUAAACACUCAGAACACAAAUCCCAAGCCUGACGAGGGAAUCCUCUUCCAGGGGAUUCCUUUUUGGUGACUCACCAGACAGAUAUCUGCCGGCGAUUGCGCAGUAGACAGGUUUGCUCUUUUUUCCAACAUCUCAUAAUCAACAUUCUCAUCAUGCAUCUCUAAAACAUCUUAAAACAACAACAACAUCAUUUUAUAAAAACCACCACCAUAAAUCAUCGUGCUCAACAUUAUGCUCAAAUACUCCAAAUCAAUAGUUCUCUUGCAAUGAAAACAAAUCCAUAAUUCUCCUCAUAAUAUAUUACUCCAAACAAAUCAUAAACAAAAGUAAAAGUGCAAAACAAAACAAUACAGAAAUAACUAAAACAGUGGUCCCCAAACAUGUAAAGUUAGCCCAAAAUCCAGUGAUUCCCAAAAUUUUUAUGAAAAAAAUGCAAAAUAAUCUGUGAUAGUUUAAAAAAUUUUGUUAAAUUAACUAAAAAUGAUAAAGUACUCAAAUGUAAAAGUAGUUUGCAAAUAUAGAAAUGUUAAAAAAUCAGUAAGGAUUUAAAAGUUUUAAAAGAAAUGCGAAAAGAAAAUAUUUGCUACAACUGAUGUUUCUAAGUGUAAAUUAUCGAAAAAAAAAAAAAAAAAUCAAAGAAGAGAAUAAAAUUUGCACCCUAUAAUGGGCAAUCGUCGCCUUAGUGAAAACCAUACACAAUUUAUAAAAAUAUUUACUAAAUACUAAAAUUAAUUUUCUAAAACCUAAAUCUAAUAUCACAGAUAGUUCAUAAAAUGAUUUUAAAGUUAAAAAUCAAUGCUUAAACUAAUAUCACAUUAAAGCUUAUGAAAACUGUUAAAUGAUUAAAAUAUGUGAAAAGAAAAAUUUAAAUGAUUAAUAAGUUGAAAGCUUAAUAACUAAUACAUAUCACAGAUUUAAAAUUUCAAAUAAAGUUUAAACAAAAUUUUAACAAACUGUGUGUUAAACAUCUUUGCUAAAGCUAUAAUGAAUUGAAAGUUUUAAUACCCAAGAGAAACCAAAGAAAAGAACAAAAUAUAUGUACCCUAUAAUGUGUAUUAGUCGCACUAGCAAACUAUACGACCGUUCAAAUUAAAAUUUCAAAUUAAUAAUAAAUUAAAUUACCUAAAUUUAAACUAAACAACUAGUAUCACACA